rnacentral:rRNA from 1 species
GUGUCAGCAGCCGCGGUAAGACGAACCGUGCGAACGUUGUUCGGAAUCACUGGGCUUAAAGGGCGCGUAGGCGGGCACUCAAGUCGGUGGUGAAAGCCUCCAGCUUAACUGGAGAAGAGCUGUCGAUACUGGGUGUCUGGAGGGGUGUAGGGGUCUGUGGAACUGUGGGUGGAGCGGUGAAAUGCGUAGAGAUCCACAGGAACGCCGGUGGCGAAAGCGACGGACUGGACACCUUCUGACGCUGAGGCGCGAAAGCCAGGGGAGCAAACGGGAUUAGAUACCCCCGUAGUCC